GAUGAACGCUGGCGGCGUGCCUAAUACAUGCAAGUCGAGCGGACGGACGAUAAGCUUGCUUCUCUGAUGUUAGCGGCGGACGUGUGAGUAACACGUGUAUAACCUACCUAAAAUAGGGGUAAAACUUCGGGAAACGGGAGAUAAUACCGGAGAAUAUUUUGAACCGCGUUGUUCAAAGGAGAAAGACGGUGUUGCGGGCACUGAUAGAUGGAUCCCCGCUGCAUGAGCGAGUUGGGAAGGUAAAGGCUUUCGAAGGCAACGAGGCAUAGCCGACCUGAGAGGGUGAUAGGCCACCCUGGAACGUGGCCAGCGUCCAGGCGACUACGGGAGGCAGCAGUAGGGAAUGUUCCGCAAUAGUGGGAAGCCUGACGGAGCAGCGCCGAGUGAGUGACGGAGGUCUCCGGAUCGUAAUACUCUGUUAUUAGGGAAGAACAUAUGUGUAAGUAACUGUACACAUCUUGACGGUAACUAAUAAGAAAGCAACGGCUAACUACGUG
rnacentral:rRNA from 1 species